AAAACAAAAAUGAAAAAAAAAAAAAAGAAAAAGAAAAAGAUACCUCAAACAGGUCAAACUGCCUAUUAAUUGUUAUAGUUUCAGUAUGCGAAAUAAUCCUAAAUUUUACUUAAAUUUUGAAGUAGAAGCGGUAAGAGCACAUAUUUUAGGCACAAUAUAUUAAAAAGCCUCUGAACUUUAAAGGUAUGUGAUGAUUUAAGAUUGAGAGUCUCAAGAAAUCAUAGAUUAUUAGUAUUAAAGAUCAAUAGUAUGUGGCUGUAUAAGCCAAAUCAUCUUUGUUGAACUGUUUUGUUUUUGAGUGCUAACAGCUAAUUAUAUAUACAAGAUGGUCACAGCACUACUUAAGGGUAUUAGAAUAUUCAGGCAUCUCAUAACCUUCAGUACUUUUAUAGAAGAGGGAAGUUUUAUUUUAAAUAGACACUAGAAAAUGCCAAGCUUUUGAAUACCAACUCUUCUAAGCUCACAUUCAAUUACAGGUCUUGUAAACAAUGAAUGAGUCAAGUUCCGGU